rnacentral:piRNA from 1 species
UCAGAGUGCGAAGUGAUUUCAGAAUGCAA